AAAAAAAAAGGAAAAAAGCGAUUUUCUGAGCUCCCUUGUUUUUAUGAGAGCUGGCUGGCGGGUACGAAGCAGCAGCUGAUGAGCUUAUUGAGCAGGAAGGGAGGCUCGGGCUAUGAAAUUCGAUGUGUAAAUUAGCUUCUUGCAGCACUUGUCUCUGUGCCUGUCACUUCCACCAGUGUCUCUGUCUGUUAUAAUCCUCCAAGUUCAUUUGGUUAAACAUUAGUGACAUGCAAGGGACAGCAGCCAAAAAUAAUGUUGCCUGUAAACGUAACGGCUGCAAACUGUUGAGUGAGAGAUCUAUCAAACUAACCAAGCAGCCAGCAGGAGCACGGACUGGUCUUUUCCUGCUAUGGAAAAGUUAUUUUUAGCUCAAGUGGCUGCAUUCAUUCUUCUUCAUUAGCAACACCUGGGGAGAAGGCAGAAUGAUGAUGCACCACCUCCCAGCUGGGAUAGCGAGACCCGGGUUGCAGUGCUUCUCUGCCUGCUGCCCUCAGCCUGCUUGCAGAGCAGCUCCAGCAGGAUGGCUUAGCUGAAAGGAGCUUUGGAGACAGCUUUUCCCCAUCGUUCUUCCCAGUUGCACCGCCACAAUGUUGUCAUGCCAACUCAGGUACCAGCAAGUGUGUUCUGCUCCCAAUGGAACGAGCAGUCCCUGCCAGGCACACAGAGUAGCAGGGGCCAGUCUGCAGCUGCUGGGGAAUAGAAGAUCACCAGCAUGGUUUACAUUCUGCACUUAUUUUGCAGAACUGUACCCAGCACAUCCCUUUGAACCCACCUUGGGACAAGCCUUGCCGUUCAGCACAGCGAUGCCCACACGCCUGCUGCAGCCCCAUCCUAAAGCAAACCCACAGCACAUCUUCUGCCAGCG
rnacentral:lncRNA from 1 species